rfam:Camelus ferus unplaced genomic scaffold scaffold2206, whole genome shotgun sequence.
GAGGGUACAGCUCAGUGUUAGAGUGCACACUUAGCAUACAUGAGGUACUGGGUUCAAUCCCCAGUACCUCCA